AUUAUUUCACAUAAUAAUAAACAUAUAUAUAAAUAUCAUGGCUACAACAUUCAAGUUGUAAUUUCAAGGAUUUAACAUAAGAAUCAUAUAAUUCAUCACACAUGCCAUCUUUUCAUAAAACUUGCAAUUAAUCAUGGAUUCAAGACCAUAUAACAAUACACACAUGAACACAAUCCAACUCAAACAUGUAAUUUAUGGAACCUCAAUCUUGUAUUUUGAAAGAAAGGAUUCUUGGGCUCCAUGGGUGGUUAGUACCCAUGGAUGAACAUCUAACAUACCUGAGAAAUUAACUUCUUGAAGAUUCUUGGUAGUGUUCUUGAGAUUUAACUUUGAUUCUUGAAGGCUAGGAUUUUGCUAAUUAGAAGAGAGAUUGAUCUUGAUUUGAGGGAAAUUGAGUAAAUGAUGAUCUAAUUAGGUUAUUAGGGGUUCAUUAAUGUGUUUAGACUAAUUAGGGCCGUAGAAAAAGACUAAAUUGCCCCUGAAAGAAAUUAAAAUUCAUGUCACUGGAUUCCUGAUUUUGGCCUCGCAUCGCGAUGAGCCACUGGAAGUUGGCUGAAACUGUUUAAAAAUAGACAAUUGUGAAAUUACAUUUUUUGGCGCGACACGGUGGUAUCGCGUCAGGCUACUGGAAAUUGACAAUUCUUAAAUGGCACCUUGGCACGAUGCGGGCCAAUUAGGUACCCCACUGAAAAAAGCCAUUUAGAAACUGGAACUUCACCACGACAUGCUGGAAUCAUGGUGUCUCACUGAAAACUGACGAAUGUCAUUUUGACCCUCACCGCGACGCGGUGCUUCUCUAUUUGACAUACUGUUUCACUAAAAGUGCUAUAACUUCCCACCCGGAUAUCAGAUUUGGGCAAAACUUAUAUCAUUAGAAAGCUGACUGAAUUUCCUAGACAAUGAUGGGUCUUAAGCUGGAAAAUUCUGAUUAUAUUUGAAAAUAUAUAGGAAUUCUCUUAUACUAAGAGCUAAACUGAGCUAGGAAAAUACGGGGUAUUAUACUCAUUUAUGUUUUGCAGAGGACUUACUUUAAUUUGAAAUAGGGGACUUCAAAUCAGUGCUACUACUUAGUAUAAAGUUGAAUCUAUUUUCUGUAGCCUUAGUCUUAAAGGCAAACAUAACGACAAAAAUCUAUAACUAUAUGGCCAAAAUUUUAUCUUAUGGAUGAAGACUGAAUCUUACAAAGGAAAUGUUGUUUGGGGUUCAAGCUUAUUGGACACAACUAUUUCUAAAGCCACAUAAAGUGAUUAAGCUCAUUGAAGCCAUAUGUAGAAGUUACUUGUGGUUAGGUGAAGCAAUAGUAACUACGAGAGCUUGGUAGCCUAGAAAAAGGUUUGUUUACCUAAAUCAUUGAAGGCUUAAAUCUACUUAAUCUGAAAAUAUGUAACCGGGUAGCUAUAUGCAAACUACUAUGAUUAUUGAGCCAACAAAAAGAGUUGUGGAUUACUUGGGUGCAUAUGUAAUAUGUCACAAAGCAGAAUAUUAACAGAAUGGGCAUACCCAAGUAAGCUACUUGGCUAAGCAAAAAGAUCCUACAAGUGAGAAAGCACGGCUUGGCUCUAGGUAACAUCUAUAUAUUGAUAAAAAGGGGAAGUUCCACUUAUCUACAACUUAUAAGAGGCUAAGGGGUGAGAUGCAGAAUGUAGUUUGAAAAAAACUAAUAUGCCAUAAUAUUGUAGAACCAAAACACUACUUUAUUAUAUGGUUGAGACUUCAUGAGAGGAGGAGAACUAAGUAUUUAUUGGUGAAAUAAGACAUAAAUGUGACUGAAACAUGUGUGUUAUGUGAUACAGGGCUUGAAACCUUGAAUCAUAUUUACUUUGAAUGUAUUUUCUCAAGUGAUAUCUGGAGACAUGUCCUCAGCUGGCAGAAAUGGCUUAGUCAUGAGGAUUGAAACUGUGAAUAGAUAUGGGUACAACAACACUUUGGGGGCAAAAAUCCUAGAGGACAAAUAUUAAAAGCUAGUUUUAUCACAAUGAUGUAUGUUAUUUGGAAGGAGAAACAUAUAAGGAUGUUCCAGAAUCGAUCUUCAACAAAGAAGAAAUUGAUUCAUCAACUACAUCUAUCAUCGUGUAUCAGAAUUAGGCAAAAUUUAAAAUUGCUUAAUUACAUUUGUUCCUUGUAAUUUUUUGUGUACUUUCAGUUUUUUUUUCUUGAGAAAUCUAUAGUAGUUGAUUUGGUCAAGUGUUAGAAUAGGUGUUCUAAGAAGGGAUUGAAUUGGUUAAUUAUUCGUUGGUUUUGUAAAGAUGAUUUUUGUGAUUUAUAAAAUUCCUUUGAUUGCCAAAAAAAUAAUUAUGGUACAUUCUAUUAGUAAUGAUUUUGAAUUAUUCAGUUUAUCUGAUUUUUUAAGAACUUAUAUAAAUAUUUAUUGUUCAACUGUAUGCACAAAAAACUAAAAAAUUAAUGAAUUCAUAGUUUUAUAGUUUUAUGAGUCCAUUGUAUAUCAAACUCAAUUACAUAAAAAAAUUUGGACUUUUAUUCUUGUAUUUUAACUAUAGAACUCUUACUUAUUUGUAGUGGAAUUCAUGUUGUUCUAAGCAUCACAUAAUUUUAGGUAAAUUUAUGAGAACAAUAUUAACUUUUAGUUUUUUAUAUUUAAAUUUGUACAUGCCCACUAUCCUCCCCGCCCCUAAUAAGUUCAGAAAAAGAUUAUUUCAACUAGCCAUCAUCCUAAUUAGCCCAUACAGCUUAAAACUUGUCCCUACGCAUACCCACACCGCCUUGUUAUCUUCCUUACUUAGAAGGCAUUGACUAUUUAUAAGUACUUUUCAACUUAGCUUUGCAUUGAGUAAAUAAAAAUUAUUAUAAAUUAAGUGUUUAUAAAUCAAAUUAAGCAAUAAUCAUAAAUUGAUCUCCCCUAAUUUACUGUCCAUUUUCUUGAUUGAUUUAAAAUUGCCAAUACUCUUUUACCUAAAAGACACAAUGGGUCAAAUUUUGCUAAGAAAAAUAUGUACAGAUAUGGACAACCCAAAGUGUUAAGACCAUCAAAGAUGAAUAGACUAAGAAGACAAAGAAAUAAAAGAAAAUCAAAAAAUAGAUUAGGAAUUUAGGGUAUCAAAUGAAAAAAGAAAAGUGGAACGAUGGAUCUGGAAAGUAAGAUCUCAAAUUCAUCGAUGACGCUACUAUUAAGUUAGUACAGAGUUUUUCCUUAUCACAAAUCUUCAAUGCUCUUCACUUGAAGCUAAGAUAUCUCAUUAACAAAAAAAAGUAUGGAGGUUCCACUGAGCACAGAGCUGGUUACUUCUUUGCUUAGAGUCAAGGAGCUUUGAGCAACCAAUUUUUAGGAUUUGGCUCGAUUAAAGGUCUCUCUGAUGAAAUUUAUUGUUAAAUUUGUUUUUCUAUUGCAACAAUCUAAGGUUUUUCUACACAAAUUAUUGAGCACUCUUCAAGAAAUUUAUUGCUUGAGUUAUCUCAAUCUACUAUGGAGCAUCAAGAACUUUGAUAGUAAAGGAAAUAGCUCAUAGUUUCUUAAAUCUAUCCUUCAAUGAUUUGAAUCCCGUAAAUAAAUUAAUACCACCAUUAAAAGUCUAGAUCUUUGAAAUAAAAACUAAUUUUUUACUGCUUUUCAAGUUUAUAAACAAAGGAUGAGUUGAAAGAGGUUUGUGUCAUGAAGGCAUUACUUGUUCGCUUUGAGUCUUGAUUUAGUACCAUUGGCCAGCUCAAAGAUCUCACCGGGUGUACAGUACUGUCAAAUAGUUGAGAUUUCUUUAGACUUAGAGUGAAUGCUAUAGAGCUGAAACUCACCUGCGAACCUUCCUGCAACUAAAACCUAUAAAAUGAACUACAAAUUGAAAUAGUUAACUGGAUGUAUAUGUUGUAGUGGUACGUUUGAUCCUCAAAUAUGGUGUGUUAUGCUUGUAUAGAUUAAUAAUUCUUCCUGUUGUAAUUGAGACUUGUUGAAAUGAAUUAAACGCAUAUGUACAUGCAAAAUAGAAAAUUAACUUAGCAAGAAAAUAACAAAUGUUUUCCUCUCUAAUGAAGUGUUAUUCUCUUACUAAUAUGAUCUUUCUUGUUUUUACUAUGGAGUUGACCUCUAAGUAUAUUUAUCAUAGUCAACGAUUUAGUUUUAAUGAUGAUAUUGAGGAGAUGAUUAUCCAAAUAAAAUUAAAGCCCUACCCCAAUAGCAAUAGCUUCAACAACCAUAUUUAUUGUGCCUGUAAAUUUCACCCCUUUAGCACCAAGUAGAUUACCUUCAUGAUUUCUCACAUAAAAAACACUUUCACUUGGCCUAUAUUACCUCUAUAUUUCCUGUCAAUAUUAUAUUUUAUCAAAUCUUGAAGUGGUGGAAUCUAUUUGACCAUUUUGUAUAGAAAACAAAGUUUGAAACUAUCAGGAAUAGCUAUCAUUUUUGGUCAAGUAUUACAAAUUGUUGUGUAUUUAAACUUUAACUUGAUAAACUUGUAAAUAGUGGAAUUGAUAUCCCAAAGUAUCUUACCUCCAGUGUAUGUCCUCCAUGUAAAAUUGUAUUCCUCAUUUUCCAUAAGACCCCUAGGAUAUGUUUGGGAUGAAUUUAAAAGUCACUUUCAUCCUAGCAUUAUCUUGUGCAUUCCACCACUUCUUCAUAGACUGUCUCAUUUGAACCCAAGAAAAAAUGGUACCUACUUCUAUAAAAUAGUAACUCCAAACUCCUACAGCUAGAUUUCCUGCUAAAAAUAUAAUGCUCUAUGGUCUCUCUUAUAGGUGUUGUGAAGCAAGAACACAAAUAAAAAAUGUUAUCGUUCUGGUUAGUCAUGGUUGCAACAACAUCAUUUAUUAUAGGCCCUCCAUCCUAAAUAGUAUAUCUUGAAUGGCGGACCUUUCACCCAUAACUUAUAGAAAUUUGUAGGUUAAUCCCUAUUUUUUAGAAUCUCCCAAAUGCUCUUCACUGAGAAUUUUUCAGAACUAAAUUUUGCCUAUCAAGGCUUAUCUCCUUGAUUAGAUUAUAUAAUAUGAUCCACGUUAUGCCUAACAUAAUCUAUAACAUCAUUAGGCAAACAAUUCUACGUGAUAUCAAAAUUUGAACUCUCUUUCUUCAGAAAAACAUAGAUAUCUGUCAAGGGGUGAUAACUAUGUAUUAUAGAUGUAAAGGACCUAAGAUAGUCCAAUUGUCAUACCAAACACUAGAAUCUCCUCCUUUAUGUUCCACAACAAAUGUUGCUCUACAACUUAUCUAUAGUAUAGUAUGUUCUUCCACACUUGAAAGUCACCUCUCUAUUGAACCGACUUUGGAAUUUGCUUCUUGCAGUACUUAUUUUAAAUAAAAUUUGAUCAUAAUGAGCUUUGACUUCUAAACCUCAACCAAAGAUUAGCAUACAUAGCUUUCAUUUCAUCAUAAGGAGCUUUGAGUUAUAAACCUCCGCCAAAGAUUAGCAUACAUAGUUUGAGGUGCAUCAAACAUUGAUCUGAAACUCAAACCUGCUUUCUUUUUUGAAAGACAAACCUUAUCCCAAGUAGCCUAGUGUUUGUUUCUCCCUAUGAUUUUAUGAUAAUUUUUUUGAAAUUUUUUUAUGAAGUUCCUUCAUGAAAGACUUGGGAGGAACUAAAGAAUAUUGAAUAUGGAUAGCAAAUAUUUUUUAAGACGAUACUAAGACCUCUUUACCUCCAUAGUAUAAAAUAUUUCCUUUAUAGGAUUGAAGUUUAUUUGUCACCCCACUAAUAGUAUUUAUAUAGUGUUCUUUUCUUUUCCUGGAAUGAGUAGUUGGACAACCUAAGUAUUUCAAAGGAAAAUGGCUUCUAGGUAUACCUGCACAUUGCCCACUAAUUGUUAUUGGUCUGUUGUUGUAUUAUGAUAAAUACAAAAGAAAUUUUUUUCUUUAUUGUCUUUUUCUUUGUUGUCUUAAUUGAGAUUCAUAUUCCUGUGAAAUUUGGACUACCUUCUUCAAAGAAUAUGCUUGAGCUGAAGUAAUGAUAAUAGUGGUAUCUGUAUAGGCAAGAUGAUUGAGAUUAAUUUGCACUCCACUUCGGUACUCCUUGCCCUACAAAUUUCACAUUUCCAAAUAAAGAAUUCGAAGCAUAAAAUAUACUCAACUAAAAACAUAAAUGAAGUAGGAGAUAAGGAAUCGUCUUGCUUCACUUUUCUAGUGGAAUGAAAAGAAUUAUGUGAUUGUCCAUUAACAAAAAUUAAAUAUCAAUUAUUAGAGAUUAUCCCCAUAUUAUAGCAACAAAAUUAUUUGAGAAAUUUAUUAUCUUUAGAGCCUUCAUCAAAAAAAAAUUAAGAUACUGUCAUAAGUUUUAGCCAUAUCAAGCUUGAUGACCAUAUUAGUAGGCUUACCUUUCCUCCUAAUAUUAGUAGCAAUCUCUGGAGUUAACGACACAUUCUCGAUUAUGAUUUUACCUUUUACCAAAUUUUACUGGUUACUUGAUAUUAAUUUAGGAAGAAGAACCUCCAGUCUGUCACAAACAAGCUUGGACAAAGGUCUCAAAUUAGAAAAGAAUUGAAUAUUUUCCUUCAUAAGAGGACCAAAUUAGUAUUAGUAAUAGGAUUAGGCAAAAUAUUAUGAAUAAAGAAAUUUUGCACAAUUCUUAGAAUAUCAUCACCAAUAGUCUCUCAACAAUAUUGAUAAAAUCUACUUGUCAAACUUAUCCCGAUUUAAGUUAAAAACAACUAUUCUAACUUCUUUUAAUUUUGGUUGUAUGAAUCCUCAUCUGCACUUUUGGGAUCUAAAAUAUGGUUCAAUAAUGGAAAAGUAGCAGCAUCCCUCUCCUGUGUGAAUUGCCUGUGACAGAAAUCCAUGGCUUCAGUUGCAACCUCCUCUUCUACAAUAUUCGAAUACCCUGGCUGUUUGGCGUUCUCCUCAAAUAGAGUCUUUUUUCUACCUUUCACAAUACUAUGAAAAAGUUUUGUAUUUCUAUUCAAACCAAUCUUUUUUGUAAUUCAAAUAUGCGCUAGCUGCCCAUUUUAUUCAUCCAUAAAAUAAAAUACCUAAGACUGUACAAAGACUAAGGUCCAAAAGUGGUCAAAGCCCAAAAUCAAAAAGAAAAAGAAAAGAAAAGUUCAUACAUUAAGAAGUAAAAAACAUCUAUAUCAGAAUGCGAAAGUGAGUGGAAGUUCAAUUGAACUCCUUGAGAUUUAUGGUCGAUAUGAUCCAUAAACUCCGGUGGUGCUCUGUUUAUCAGUUAUGAUGAUCACGAUGAAAUAUACUCUAAGUUACUAGGGAACACACAACUAUCGAGCUUGAGCGAUACUCAUUUGGGCAUCAAAACCUCUCACUGAUGCAAUGAAUUCAAUAUCGUUGAAGAUUUCUUCAGCUCAAAAAUGAAUGAGCUCUCAAGGGCUAGUACCACUGCAAAAUAAUAGAGUUCUGAUAGGAAACUAGGUUUAACGAGCUAAACAAAAGAAAACGGAGUUGAAAGUUCAAUAUUGGCCACCUAUGAUGCAACCAACAUGGAUUAGGUUGCACCUACAUAGCGUAAGUGACAGAGUAAGUAGCAGACAGUUAAAAUUCAGAGAAUCAGAAGUUGAAGUGGAGACCCUGCUACCUACGAAGGGUCACCUGCGGCCUAUAGGUACAACCUAUGAUGACGUAGGUGCCAGUGCAAGUGUCAGAGGGUUAAAAGUUCAGAUAAGAUACAUAAAAAGAUUUCUUGUUACCUACGUAGGGCCACGUACAUGGCGUAUGUGUAUUCAAGUUUCCUCGGUCAUUUUAGUUUAUGUUUUUAGGGUUUUCAUAUAUCUAUAAAUACUCUUAUAAUGUUUUUAGUCAGUUUACGUACUCAUACUAUUCAUAAACAUAUAUUUGAUUCUAAGAUUGACUUUUG